UUUCCUUUCAAAAUGUAUGAAAGGCAUACCACGUAAUCCUGGAGCUGUCAUAUUCAUUACCUCCAAGAGCCCCAAUGUUAAAAGAACUGCAAUGAUACUAAUAGGGCCAUGAGAUAAUUGGGCUCUUUCCUCCUUUAACAACUUCCACCCCAGGGUUGUGUCCCAGUGCCUGAACCUCAACAGCACCUUCACACUGGGUUUCCAUCACAUUUCUCUUACUGCUCUUCCACGUGAAUGAACUAACAAACAAAAAGGGGGUGGGAGCACUGACUGAUGCAAUGACUAAACUUCUUUGUUCUUCGGCUCUAUCUUUGAACUGACUUUUUUUUUUUUUUUUUAAAGAUUAAAACAUUACUUUCAUAUUCGUUGAAGACAGUAUUAUAAAAAGAGGAAAAUGGAGGCCUACUAUUUCAGUCAAGUUAAUGAGAUGUGGCUGUACACACAUACAGUAUUAUGUGCAUGGGCGUGUCAACAUGUUCAUUUCUUAUGGAUGACAAUGACUGUACACUAUAACCCAGCUCCUGGCUCAGUGCAUCUAUUUAUUCUAACCUGCAUCUCUGGUCUUGCAACCAGCAACACAAUUUUCUUGCAUUCAUCACUGGAGAGCAAUGCCACCGCCUCCUCCCGAUUCUGGACAUCUUGGCCAUUUAUCUAGAAAACAAAUGAAAGUGGCACAUUAGUUUCCAUUUCCACAAAGCAACACACAAUAAAGGGCAAAUAUCAGCUCAUUUGUGGUAAAUGUAUGGACAAUGAAACUCACACAAUGGGCUCAUCUUCAGCUCCUCAGUGUGCGUGCUGUGUGAGGUAAACGGACUAUUCUCAGCUACUUAAGAAGACUAUAUAGGAGACAGGAGUUGCUGUAUGUAGUAUGCUAGUAUUUUAAUUAUCCGGGAAAACAUGAGGAAAGCUGCUAUAUUACUGUGAAAAGUAUAAAAGCAAGCAUCCCCAAAGCUGUGUUCUCCAGACCUGAAUGCAAUCCCUUUGUAAUGAUAUUGUCAUCUUCCAUUUCUCUGAGUUAUCUCAUCCAUAAGAGUGGAUGGAGGGUCAGUGUGCCAUCGGCUAUGAAAGAAAACCCCACAUAACUCACUUGGUGUUAAUCUUAAUGAUCAAACUUCCGGCUACAUAUCAGCACUGACAUUCAAGUAAUGCUAUUAGUCUACAAAAAUGCAAUAGAAUUACCUACAGUCUUCUCUCACCUCUGGAGUCUUCACUCACAAGUGAAUUGAGUUUGAUGGUCUCAAACUAAUAUCUAUUAGCUGUCUGCCUAUACUGUGCCUGGCACUAUAAUUCACCCAGAAAUGUUAAAAAGAAAAGAAAGUGGCAUGGAAUGAAUCUAUCAUCUACUUAAAAUACAUUAAAAUGCCUUAAAGAUGUGAGUCCAGAGUUUUAGUCUUGUUGAAAAAACAACAAGAAUUCAUU